rnacentral:rRNA from 1 species
AGAGAGAGACAUGCGCGCAUAUCAAUAAGCGGAGGAAAAGAAACUAACAAGGAUUCCCUUAGUAACGGCGAGUGAAGCGGGAAGAGCUCAAAUUUGAAAUCUUCAAGGUUCUACCUUGACGAAUUGUAGUUUAUAGAAGUGUUUUCUGUUAGUGGAGUGGCAAAAGUUCUUUGGAAUAGGACAUCAUAGAGGGUGAGAAUCCCGUAUUUGGUCAUUCCUCCUAGCGUUGUGAUACACUUUCAACGAGUCGGAUUGUUUGGGAAUGCAGUCCAAAAUGGGUGGUAAAUUUCAUCUAAAGCUAAAUAUUGGCGAGAGACCGAUAGCGAACAAGUACCGUGAGGGAAAGAUGAAAAGAACUUUGAAAAGAGAGUUAAACAGUACGUGAAAUUGUCAAAAGGGAAGCGUUUGACACCAGUGUUGUUUUUCCGAAAAUCAAUUACGAAUGUUUUAGUUUUUGAGGAGUUAUGACUUCAUCGGCUUGCUCCUUUCUUUAUGAAACUUUCUUAAUGCACUUUUCGGUUAACAAGUCAACAUCAAUUUCUUUUGUUGUAAAAGGGUAUGAGGAAGGUGGCUUUCUUUUCGGAGAAAGUGUUUAUAGCCUUGUGCCUCUGCAAUCGGAGAGAUUGAGGUCUGCAGCGUAGAUCCUUCGGGGUUAGAUACGUAGAUGCUAAGUUAUAGCUUUUUAUAGACAACUUGUUGACUAUGAUUAGUCAUGUAGCUUACUCGUUGACGCUAUUUUACCUACGCUUAGGAUGUUGAUAGUCACAGCGUGUAC